rnacentral:rRNA from 1 species
ACGAUGACUCUAGGCAACGGAUAUCUCGGCUCUCGCAUCGAUGAAGAACGUAGCGAAAUGCGAUACCUGGUGUGAAUUGCAGAAUCCCGUGAACCAUCGAGUCUUUGAACGCAAGUUGCGCCCGAGGCCACCCGGUCGAGGGCACGCCUGCCUGGGCGUCAUGC